UACGUAGGGGGCAAGCGUUGUCCGGAUUUACUGGGCGUAAAGAGCGUGUAGGCGGCCCAAGCAGGUCCGUUGUGAAAACCGGAGGCUUAACCUCCAGACGUCGACGGAAACCGCGUGGCUAGAGUCCGGAAGAGGAGAGUGGAAUUCCUGGUGUAGCGGUGAAAUGCGCAGAUAUCAGGAAGAACACCAAUGGCGAAGGCAGCUCUCUGGGGCCACUACUGACGCUGAGAAGCGAAAGCAUGGGGGAGCGAACAGG
rnacentral:rRNA from 1 species